CCUACGGGUGGCAGCAGUAGGGAAUAUUGCUCAAUGGGGGAAACCCUGAAGCAGCAACGCCGCGUGGAGGAUGAAGGUUUUCGGAUUGUUAACUCCUUUUGUUAGAGAAGAUAAUGACGGUAUCUAACGAAUAAGCACCGGCUAAGUCCGAGCCAGCAGCCGCGGCAAUACGGAGGGUGCAAGCGUUAUUCGGAAUUACUGGGCGUAAAGCGCGUGUAGGCGGGAUAGCAAGUCAGAUGUGAAAUCCUAUGGCUUAACCAUAGAACUGCAUUUGAAACUGGUAUUCUAGAGUAGGAGAGAGGUAGGUGGAAUUCGUGGUGUAGCGGUAAAAUCCAUAGAGAUCAAGAGGAAUACUCAUUGCGAAGGCGACCUGCUAGAACAUAACUGACGCUGAUGCGCGAAAGCGUGGGGAGCGAACAGGAUUAGAUACCCUAGUAGUC
rnacentral:rRNA from 1 species